rnacentral:lncRNA from 1 species
CAAUUUUCUCUCAAGAUAUAAUGAUAUAGUCUCUCCCUUUAUAUCCUCUCUCCCUAUCGAAAUAAUCACUCUCCCCCCUUUUUGUCACAAAUAAAAAAAAAUCAAUAUCAAAAUAUUUUUAACAUCAAUUAUAAUAAUUCAAAAUAUGCAAUUGAUUACAUGCACAAGCAUAAUCAAUGAUUAGUAAACCUUCGUACAUGCACAACUCGAGUUAACAUGGAGUAAAAUAUAUAAGUGAUCCAUGUGUGUAAAGCGUCGUUAAUCCUUUGUAAACUGGACUUCAUACCUUAAUUUUAUGAUAAAUGACAUACUAAACAUCAUUGUCCAUAAGUUUAUUUUUUUAUUUAUGAAAGUUAAACCAUUUAAAGCACACUAGAACCUUCAAAUAAAAGCUCAUUUUGUAUGGAUAUUUUCUUUUUCUCUCCCUGAUUUGAGCAUACAUAAAAUUUUCAUAUCAUUCAAUAUUUUUUAAGCUCAUCAUAUUUGUACAUCUUAAGUACAGGUCCUUCUCCAUUAAAAGAAUAAGAUGAACCCGUAGCGAGUUUUAGUCCGAUUAACCCAAGUUAGUUGACCAUUGGCUCGCACCAAGUUAUGAAAAAUCCCACAGACUUAAUUGUUCGAGUCAAAUAUGCUCCAAAGAAUAACAUUUUUAUUACAGGGAUUAAAGUUGAGUUUAGGUCUAAUAAAUAAUGUCAAUUCAUGUUCAAAAUCACCUUACUAACAUGUGACUAUCAUCUAAAAUCUUACACAUGCAGUUGAGUCCCACUAACAACAUCAUAAAGUGUGCAGUGCAGAUUGUACAUGAAGUCACAUAUACUAAGUACUCUAUAAUAACCUAAGCAAGCAAUAGAAACUAUGCUACAACUCUUCCAUUAAACCAAUACUUGAUAACAACAAACAAAUUCAAGUAUAUUAUACAUCAUGUUGUAAAAACAAUUUUCUCUUCCCUUUUCCCAUUUUCUUUGUAUUUUUCAAUUUUCAAAUUUUUUUGUUGUUUUUAUUUUAAAAAUUUGAACGCACCAAGAACACAAGAAAAUGUUAAACACACAAAAAAUGGACAUAAGACUUCUACUUAGAAAACAAAUAAAAAAAAUCAGUAUCAAAUUUUUUUUAACAUAUAUUAUAAUAACUCAAAAUGUGCAAUUGAUUACAUGCACAAGCAUAAUCAAUGAUCAGCAAACCUUCCCACAUGCACAACUCAAGUUAACAUGGAAUAAAAUAUAUAAGUGAUCCAUGUGUGUAAAGCGUCAUUAAUCCUUUGUAAACACGACUUCAUACCUUAAUUUUAUGAUAAAUGACAUAUUAAACAUCAUUGUCAAUAAGUUUUUUUUUUUUUUUUUUUUUUAUGAAAGUCAAACCAUUUAAAGCACACUAGGACCUUCAAAUAAAAGCUCAAUUUGUAUGGAUAUUUUCUUUUUCUCUCCUUGAUUUUGAGCAUACAUAAAUUUUUCAUAUCAUUCAAUAUUUUUUAAUCUUAUCAUAUUUUUACAUCUUAAGUACUGGUCCUUCUCCAUUAAAAGAAUAAGAUGAACCUGUAGCAAGUUUUAGUCCCGUUAACCCAAGUUAGUUGACCAUUGGCUCGCACCAAGUUAUGAAAAACCCCAAAGACUUAAUUGUUCGAGUCAAAUAUGCUCCAAAGAAUAACAUAAGAUAUUGAGCUUUUUAUUAUAGGGAUUAAAGUUGAGCUUAGGUCUAAUAAUAAUGUUAAUUCAUGUUCAAAAUCACCUUACUAACAUGUGACUGUCAUCUAAAAUCUCACAAAUGCAGUUGGGCCCCAUUAACAAUAUCAUAAUGUGUGCAGUGCAGAUUGUACAUGAAAACACAUAUACUAAGUAUUCUAUAAUAACCUAAGCAAGCAAUAUGCUACAACUCUUCCAUUCAACCAAUACUUGAUAACAACAAACAAAUUCAAGUAUAUUAUACAUCAUGUUGUAAAAACAAUUUUCUGUUCCCUUUUCCCAUUUUCUUUGUAUUUUUCAAUUUUCAAAAUUUUUUGUUGUUUUUAUUUUAAAAAUUUGAAUGCACCAAGAACACAAGAAAAUGUUAAACACACAAAAAAUGGACAUAAGACUUCUACUUAGAAAACAAAUAAAAAAUAUGAUGCAUACAUAAAUCAAUAACACAUAAUGAUAAAGUACUUGCAUUCACCAGAAAUACAUAAUUAGUUAGGUGUGAAACGUUCUUAUCUUUAAGAGUAUCAUGAUCUAUUUCAAGAUUUUUUAAAUCACUUCACCCAAAAGUACCUAGUGAUAGGAAUAUUUUUAGUCAUUUGUGUAAUCAUAUUGGUCACCAACUCACCUGAUUAGUAAGGAAGUAAAUCUUACAAACAAACUCUUGAUUCUUAUUUCUAUUGAAGUUUUGUUCUAUUUAAGUUCAGGAAUUUAUAACUCCUAGGUCUUAUGUGUCUUAACUCACCACAAUGAAAAUAUGUAGGGAUAAACCUAGGAACAUAGUUGAGAUCGUUGAUUUCUAUUCUUAGAUUGGCGGGUCCUUUGCUGUUUAGUAGGCCUCUAUCCUACAAAUUCCUUUUUCUUAGGAUCAGGGUUAGACACAUGUUUAUGCUGAUCAGUAGGAGGGACAAAUGUGGUCAUGAACGUACUAGCAAUAUUAUGAUAUUUCUUCUUAUAUCCUAGACUGCCCUUGUCACCAGUAGGCGACAACCAUUCAUAGAGGUUAGAAAAGACAAGAAGUUGGGACUUGGAAAACUCAAUUUUGCACAAAAGAUUCUUAACCUGAAUUUCUAAAGUUUCAUUUUCAAUUGUCAGCUCACUAGCUCUCCUAAAGAUCUUCUCAUGCUCACUUGUGAGAUCCUUAACCUGAGUAUCUCUAAAGAUUCGUUCAUGGAUUUCAACUCACUCGAGGUUGAGAUAGAUUCUUGAAGCCAAGCUAACAAUUUAUCUUUCUCCAACUCGAGUUCUUUAACCUUCGCACCUAAGGCUUUAUUUGUGGUGAGAAUCCUAAUGCCAUCCUCAUAGGUUCUAUCAUAAGAUUCAUGAAUAUCUCCCUCAGUAUCAGAAUCUUCCUCUGAUUCUUCAGCACUAUCUAUGUCCUUAGUCAUGUUGCUCCCCUUAUCAGAUCCACUUCUAAUCCUAACUCCUCUUCAUUAGUGGAAUCUGAAUUUGAUGACUCUCUACGACUACUCCUCAUAAUGCUUAAGGCCUAAGACUUAUCAUUUGUGGGUCUAGCUAAUGUCAGUUCAUAAGUUUGGUAAGAUCCAACGACCUUAAUAGAGUCCAUAUCCUUACUUUCUUCAAUAACCAUGAUUUUAGGCCUAAAUCAUUUAGAUAAGGAUCUAAUGAAUUUUCUGACUAUCAUAGGCUUCAAGAUUCUCGCACCUAGGUUGAAGCUAGAAUUAACUAUGUCAUUUCGGCUCACAUAGAAUUCAUCAAAGGUCUUGUCCCCUUCAAUCAAAAUCUCUUCAAACCUAAUGAUCAGUAUCUACAAUUUAAAGUUCUUAAUAGCCUGAGUUCUCUUAUAUGUGGCCUGUAAAAUAUUCCAAGCCUCUUUAGCUACCUCAUACAUGGACACUCGCCUAGACUCUUCAAGGGACAUGGCCAUAAACAAUGCAUGCAAAGCUUUGUUAUCCCAAUUACAUUUUCCUGGGUUUGUUUUGGUCCAAUUUGCAAUAAGAGGAGAGAUUACUACAUUAUUAAUCGUAGAACUAGGGGUAGCCCAACAAUUAACAACACUCAACCAGAUGCAUUCAUCCAUAAAUUUUAAAAAGGAUCUCUUUCUAACCUUCAAGUAUACAUAAUUACUAACAUCAAAAUAUGAUGGGAUAGAUAGUGAGGCCAAGAAUCGAAUUUAGGCUCUGAAACCAACUGAAAGUUCUAAUUAAUUGAUUUAGUUUGACCUUACAUGUAGAAUUAACAAAAUCAAAAGCAAUAAGUCACUUUUUAAUUGUUUAUGAAUGGUUAAUCAAACUGAUCAAUUAUUUUAAGUUGAAUUGCCACAGUUUAUAAUAUGAAAACAAUAAAUAACACACAUAUGUUGACUAAGAAACCCAAUUGGAUAAAAACUCAGGGACCAAGCCAGUUAUCUCCACUAUAGACAAUAUGAAUUUAUAGAUAGACGCUGCCUCCCGAACUCCAGUAGACAUCCCGAUCUACUUCUUGUAACGUCAAAGAUCCUGCUAAAAACCAACAACUUCCAAUCUCCAAUAAUUGUCUCGUCCAAGUGGAUCUCAAAAAUGAACAGUUCUCUACUAUUUCUGCUCUUGUAGUCUAACAUCUCUCAAUAUUUGUAGCUGUUAGGCAAUUUGUUGUCAAACGACCUCCCCGGGCUAUGAUGUAACCUCGGUUUUAUUAUUAAUCAGCCUUGGCCAUGUGAUUGACUAGUACAUCGACACAAUUAUUGAGACAACACAAUCCACAUUUUUAUGGACCGUUCGAAGCAACCUAUUUUAAAUGUGUUGCUCACGGUUCGCCCCAUUUCCUUGGAAGACUAUAUUAUUAAUUUGAAGCCCACUUUAAUUGAGUCGAGCCUUGUUUUGGUCCACAAUUUAAUCCUAACCUAACUUACCUAUUUUGGACAUUUACUUGGCAUAUAAUCCCGUCUUCCUCUCGGUCUCCAUGGUGUGUGCCUAUUUCCUUUCUCUUUGUGAGACUUUCUUCUCGGCUUGCUUUACUUCACUUCUUAGUGGGCACAUCAUUGGACUUCACCUUCCCCAACCUAUAGCAACUGGAGUGGGGCGGUGGUGGUGGUGGUUUUGGAGUUGUCUCAACCUUGGUGGUGUCGAUGAAUUGGUAAACUGAGCCCGAUUUUGUACUUGGAGUUCGGUGGAAAUCAUCCCUACAGUAGCCUCUGAAGUUUAAUUGAGAAAUUACUUUCCUAAGGUUGUUUAGGAAAUUGGAGUUUUG